UACGGGGGGGGCAAGCGUUGUUCGGAAUUACUGGGCGUAAAGGGCUCGUAGGCGGCCAACUAAGUCGGAUGUGAAAUCCCCAGGCUCAACCUGGGAACUGCAUCCGAUACUGGAUGGCUUGAAUUCGGGAGAGGGAUGCGGAAUUCCAGGUGUAGCGGUGAAAUGCGUAGAUAUCUGGAGGAAUACCGGUGGCGAAGGCGGCAUCCUGGACCGACAUUGACGCUGAGGAGCGAAAGCCAGGGGAGCAAACGGG
rnacentral:rRNA from 1 species